rnacentral:rRNA from 1 species
AACGAACGCUGGCGACGCGUCUUAAGCAUGCAAGUCGGACGGCAGCACGGGGCAACCUGGUGGCGAGUGGCGAACGGGUGAGUAACGCGUAGAUGAUCUACCUUCUGGUUGGGGAUAGCCUGUGGAAACACAGGGCAAUACCGAAUGAUGUCGUACUGCUAUGGCGGAACGAUUAAAGGGGCUACGGCCUCGCCUGGAGAUGAGUCUGCGUCUGAUUAGCUAGUUGGUGAGGUAAGAGCUCACCAAGGCGACGAUCAGUAGCCGGCCUGAGAGGGUGAUCGGCCACACUGGGACUGAGAUACGGCCCAGACUCCUACGGGAGGCAGCAGCUAAGAAUCUUCCGCAAUGGACGAAAGUCUGACGGAGCGACGUCGCGUGGGUGAUGAAGGCGGAAACGUUGUAAAGCCCUUUUAUGGAUGUGGAAUGAGUCUGGGAGGGAAUGCCCGGAUGAUGACGGUAAUCCAUGAAUAAGCCCCGGCUAAUUACGUGCCAGCAGCCGCGGUAA